UACGCGUGGACAGGCCUAGACGGUUGUGAAGGAAGAAAAGCUGCUAGACCAGUGGUUCUCAACCUAUUUACCAUUGUGGGCUGCAUAUGCAACUCUCUAUGUGUUAUGUGAGCCACAUCCACACAAUAUAUAUAUUACCUGUAUGUCUGAGGAUGUCACAUAGGCUGCAGCUGCGUGCUGAUUGGGCCGCAAGCAGGCUGCGGAUUAAGAAUCACUGUGCUAGACAGACACAGACUGAAGAGUUAUAGUCAGUAAUUUGGGUGUUCCAAAGUCAUGAAAUUUGCUAACAAACUCUCCCCCUAGUUGCAGAAUCAUGCUCCAGAACCAGACUUCAAAAAAAAAAAAAAAAAAAAAUUCUAGCCCCUACAAUUGCAGGGAGCUUCAAACAUGAGCUGAGCGCAAACUGUACAGUGUCAUCUGCAGAGACCCUGAAACAAGCGUUCUGAGAGGUAUGACCUGCCCCAUUUAUUUCAAAUCACAGCCUUGCAGACUUGACAAUUCCAUGGAGCCAGCAGCAGGGCGUGGGAGCAAAAGCUACAGUCCAGUAUGCAACCAAGGCGUAGAGGAGACAAAUGCAAGCUGAGAGAAGUACAAGAACUUGAGGCAUGGAUGAGGGGCUAUGUUUGAAAUCCUUUCAGUUUUAAUAGUAGGUGAUGGUUU